rnacentral:misc_RNA from 1 species
GAUGAAGAACGUAGCGAAAUGCGAUAAGUAAUGUGAAUUGCAGAAUUCAGUGAAUCAUCGAAUCUUUGAACGCACAUUGCGCCCGCCAGUAUUCUGGCGGGCAUGCCUGUUCGAGCGUCAUUUCAACCAUCAAGCCCCCGGCUUGUGUUGGGGACCUGCGGCUGCCGCAGGCCCUGAAAAGCAGUGGCGGGCUCGCUGUCACACCGAGCGUAGUAGCAUACAUCUCGCUCUGGGCGUGCUGCGGGUUCCGGCCGUUAAACCACCUUCAUAACCCAAGGUUGACCUCGGAUCAGGUAGGAAUACCCGCUGAACUUAAGCAUAUCAAUAAGCGGAGGA